rnacentral:rRNA from 1 species
UACGAAGGGGGCUAGCGUUGCUCGGAAUCACUGGGCGUAAAGCGCACGUAGGCGGAUUGCUAAGUCAGGGGUGAAAUCCUGGAGCUCAACUCCAGAACUGCCCUUGAUACUGGCGGUCUCGAGUCCGGGAGAGGUGAGUGGAACUGCGAGUGUAGAGGUGUAAUUCGUAGAUAUUCGCAAGAACACCAGUGGCGAAGGCGGCUCACUGGCCCGGUACUGACGCUGAGGUGCGAAAGCGUGGGGAGCAAACAGG